rnacentral:rRNA from 1 species
UACGGAGGGUGCAAGCGUUAUCCGGAUUCACUGGGUUUAAAGGGUCCGUAGGCGGUUUUGUAAGUCAGUGGUGAAAGCCCAUCGCUCAACGGUGGAACGGCCAUUGAUACUGCAAGACUUGAAUUACUAGGAAGUAACUAGAAUAUGUAGUGUAGCGGUGAAAUGCUUAGAUAUUACAUGGAAUACCAAUUGCGAAGGCAGGUUACUACUAGUGGAUUGACGCUGAGGGACGAAAGCCAGGGGAGCGAACGGG